AUUGAACGCUGGCGGCAUGCCUAACACAUGCAAGUCGAACGGUAACAGGAAGAAGCUUUCUUCUUUGCUGAUUAGUGGCGGGUGGGUGAGUCAUGUCUGGGCUACUUCCUGAUGGAGGGGGAUAACUACUGGAAACGGUAGCUAAUACCUCAUAACGUCGCAUGACUAACAUGUGGGACCUUCGUGCCUUUUGCUCUCUGCUGUGCCCAGAUGGGUUUUGCUAGUAGGUGGGGUAACGGCCUACCUAGGCGACGAUCCCUAGCUGGUCUGAGAGGAUGACGAGCAAAACUGGAACUGGAACACGGUCCAGACUCCUACGGGAGGCAGCAGUGGGGAAUAUUGCACAAUGGGCGCAAGCCUGAUGAAGCCAGGCCGCGUGUAUGAAGAAGGCCUUCGGGUUGUAAAGUACUUUCAGAGGGGAGGAAGGGAGUAAAGGUAAUAACUUUGCUCAUUGACGUUACCCGCAGAAGAAGCACCGGCUAACUCCGUG
rnacentral:rRNA from 1 species